CAAUAGCGUAUAUUAAAGUUGUUGCAGUUAAAAAGCUCGUAGUUGGAUUUGUGGCGUACGGUGUGUUCCGGGCACUUGUUGUCUGAGUAACCUGCUGUUGCCAUCCUUGGGUGGAACCUGUGUGGCAUUAGGUUGUCGUGCAGGGGAUGCCCAUCAUUACUGUGAAAAAAUUAGAGUGUUCAAAGCAGGCUUAUGCCGUUGAAUAUAUUAGCAUGGAAUAAUGAGAUAGGACUUUUUUGCUAUUUUGUUGGUUUGCGCAAAGAGGUAAUGAUUAAUAGGGACAGUUGGGGGUAUUCGUAUUCCAUUGUCAGAGGUGAAAUUCUUGGAUUUUUGGAAGACGAACUACUGCGAAAGCAUUUACCAAGGAUGUUUUCAUUAA
rnacentral:rRNA from 1 species